rnacentral:rRNA from 1 species
AUUGAACGCUGGCGGCAGGCCUAACACAUGCAAGUCGAACGAGUGGCGGACGGGUGAGUAAUGUCUGGGAAACUGCCUGAUGGAGGGGGAUAACUACUGGAAACGGUAGCUAAUACCGCAUACCAUCAGAUGUGCCCAGAUGGGAUUAGCUAGUAGGUGGGGUAACGGCUCACGUAGGCGACGAUCCCUAGCUGGUCUGAGAGGAUGAACAGCCAAACUGGAUCUGAGACACGGUCCAGACUCGUACGGCAGGGAGCAGUGGGGAAUAUUGCACAAUGGGCUCAAGCCUGAUGCAGCCAUGCCGCGUGUGUGAAGAAGGCCUUCGGGUUGUAAAGCACUUUCAGCGGGGAGGCGUUACCCGCAGAAGAAGAACCGGCUAACUCCGUGCCAGCAGCCGCGGUAAUAC